rnacentral:rRNA from 1 species
UACGUAGGGUGCAAGCGUUGUCCGGAAUUAUUGGGCGUAAAGAGCUCGUAGGCGGUUCGUCGCGUCGGCUGUGAAAUCCCGAGGCUCAACCUCGGGUCUGCAGUCGAUACGGGCGGACUGGAGUUCGGCAGGGGAGACUGGAAUUCCUGGUGUAGCGGUGAAAUGCGCAGAUAUCAGGAGGAACACCGGUGGCGAAGGCGGGUCUCUGGGCCGAAAUUGACGCUGAGGAGCGAAAGCGUGGGGAGCAAACAGG